rnacentral:tRNA from 1 species
GUAAAGAGAGGGUUACACCCCGUAAAUGGAAUUACAACCCACCGCCUGUUCUCAGCCAUCUUUACAAUG